rnacentral:rRNA from 1 species
AUUGAACGCUGGCGGCAUGCCUUACACAUGCAAGUCGAACGGUAACGCGGGGCAACCUGGCGACGAGUGGCGAACGGGUGAGUAAAGCAUCGGAACGUGCCCAGUAGUGGGGGAUAGCCCGGCGAAAGCCGGAUUAAUACCGCAUACGACCUAUGGGUGAAAGGAGGGGAUCGCAAGACCUCUCGCUAUUGGAGCGGCCGAUGUCAGAUUAGGUAGUUGGUGGGGUAAAGGCCUACCAAGCCGACGAUCUGUAGCUGGUCUGAGAGGACGACCAGCCACACUGGGACUGAGACACGGCCCAGACUCCUACGGGAGGCAGCAGUGGGGAAUUUUGGACAAUGGGCGCAAGCCUGAUCCAGCCAUGCCGCGUGCGGGAAGAAGGCCUUCGGGUUGUAAACCGCUUUUGUCAGGGAAGAAAUCCUUUGGGUUAAUACCUCGGGGGGAUGACGGUACCUGAAGAAUAAGCACCGGCUAACUACGUGCCAGCAGCCGCCGUAAGAC